GUCUACGGCCAUACCAACCUGAACAAGCCUGAUCCCAUCUGAUCUCAGAAGCUAAGCAGGAUUGAGCCUGGUUAGUACUUGGAUGGGAGACCACCUAGGAAGACCAGGUGCUGAAGGCA
rnacentral:rRNA from 1 species